AUGGAGCUUGUGCUGAGCUGGGUUUGCCUGGCUGCUCUUUUAAAAGGUGUGCAGUGUGAGGUGCAGCUGGUGGAGUCAGGAGGAGGCUUGGUGCAGCCUAAGGGGUCCCUGAAACUCUCCUGUGUGACCUCGGGAUUCACCUUCAGCAAUUACUAUAUGUACUGGUUCUGCCAGGCUCCAGGAAAGGGCCUAGAGUGGGUUGCUGUUAGUAGAAACAAGGCUAAUAGUUAUACAACAGAAUACGCUACAUCUGCGAAAGGCAGAUUCACCAUCUCCAGGGAUGACUCCACAAGCACACUGCAUCUGUAG